rnacentral:rRNA from 1 species
UACGUAGGGUGCAAGCGUUGUCCGGAAUUAUUGGGCGUAAAGAGCUCGUAGGCGGUCUGUCGCGUCGGCUGUGAAAACCCGAGGCUCAACCUCGGGCCUGCAGUCGAUACGGGCAAACUAGAGUACUGCAGGGGAGACUGGAAUUCCUGGUGUAGCGGUGAAAUGCGCAGAUAUCAGGAGGAACACCGGUGGCGAAGGCGGGUCUCUGGGCCGGUACUGACGCUGGAGACGGCGAAAGCGUGGGGAGCAAACAGG